GAAUGGGGUAAAAUCUGGCAGUGACAUGCCAUACCAUUGAGUGCCAGGACUGACAUUUCUAAUCUGGCUGGCUCAAGAGCUGUUCCUUCCUUUUCCCCUUGAAUUUAUACCUGUCCCUCCCGAAGUGGGAUGCUCCAUUCAGUACAUUGACUUUGCCUAAAAAAGAUUUACAUUCUUGAGAUGAAUUGCUGAGAACGUAGUCUUCCUUGAAUUCCAGUGCCCAUUUUGAGUCAGAGUAUGGUCCUU
rnacentral:snRNA from 14 species